rnacentral:rRNA from 1 species
UGGGGAAUAUUGCACAAUGGGCGAAAGCCUGAUGCAGCAACGCCGCGUGAGGGACGACGGCCUUCGGGUUGUAAACCUCUUUUAGUAGGGAAGAAGCGAAAGUGACGGUACCUGCAGAAAAAGCACCGGCUAACUACGUGCCAGCAGCCGCGGUAAUACGUAGGGUGCAAGCGUUGUCCGGAAUUAUUGGGCGUAAAGAGCUCGUAGGCGGUUUGUCGCGUCUGCUGUGAAAACUGGGGGCUCAACCCCCAGCCUGCAGUGGGUACGGGCAGACUAGAGUGCGGUAGGGGAGAUUGGAAUUCCUGGUGUAGCGGUGGAAUGCGCAGAUAUCAGGAGGAACACCGAUGGCGAAGGCAGAUCUCUGGGCCGCUACUGACGCUGAGGAGCGAAAGCAUGGGGAGCGAACAGG